rnacentral:rRNA from 1 species
CCUACGGGGGGCAGCAGUGAGGAAUAUUGGUCAAUGGCCGGAAGGCUGAACCAGCCAUGCCGCGUGAAGGUCAGUGCCCUAUGGGCGUUAAACUUCUUUUGUGCGGGAGCAAUCAUGGUCACGUGUGGCCAGACGAGAGUACCGUACGAAUAAGCAUCGGCUAACUCCGUGCCAGAAGCCGCGGUAAUACGGGGGAUGCAAGCGUUAUCCGGAUUUAUUGGGUUUAAAGGUUGCGUAGGCUGGGAGGUAAGUCAGCGGGGAAAUGCCCCCGCUCAACGGGGUGAAGUGCCAUUGAUCCUGCCUUGCUGGAAUGCGGAUGCAGUGGGAGGAAUGUGUGGUGUAGCGGUGAAAUGCAUAGAGAUCACACAGAACACCGAUUGCGAAGGCAUCUCACGAAUCCGCGAUUGACGCUGAGGCACGAAAGCGUGGGGAUCAAACAGGAUUAGAUACCCUAGUAGUC